rnacentral:rRNA from 1 species
GAUGAACGCUGGCGGCGUGCCUAAUACAUGCAAGUCGAGCGAACAGACGAGGAGCUUGCUCCUCUGACGUUAGCGGCGGACGGGUGAGUAACACGUGGAUAACCUACCUAUAAGACUGGGAUAACUUCGGGAAACCGGAGCUAAUACCGGAUAAUAUAUUGAACCGCAUGGUUCAAUAGUGAAAGACGGUUUUGCUGUCACUUAUAGAUGGAUCCGCGCCGCAUUAGCUAGUUGGUAAGGUAACGGCUUACCAAGGCAACGAUGCGUAGCCGACCUGAGAGGGUGAUCGGCCACACUGGAACUGAGUCACGGUCCAGACUCCUACGGGAGGCAGCAGUAGGGAAUCUUCCGCAAUGGGCGAAAGCCUGACGGAGCAACGCCGCGUGAGUGAUGAAGGUCUUCGGAUCGUAAAACUCUGUUAUUAGGGAAGAACAAAUGUGUAAGUAACUAUGCACGUCUUGACGGUACCUAAUCAGAAAGCCACGGCUAACUACGUG